GACGAACGCUGGCGGCGUGCUUAACACAUGCAAGUCGAACGGAAAGGCCCUGCUUGCAGGGUACUCUAGUGGCGAACGGGGGAGUAACACGUGGGUGUUCUGCGCUGCACUCCGGGAUAAGCCUGCGAAGCUGGGUCUAAUAUCGCGUAGGGGCGAUCCUGCGUGUGGGGGUUGGAAAGUUUUUUCGGGGUAGGAGGAGGUCGCGGCCUACUAGCUUGUUGGUGGGGGGAUGGGCUACCAAGGCGGCGUGGGGGGGGCGGCCUGCGAGGGUGUACGGCCACAUAUGGGCAGAGAGACGGGCCAGACUCCUAUAGGGGGCAGCGGAGGGGAAUAUUGUGCAAUGGGCGCGAGCGUGAGGCAGAGACGCGGCGUGGGGGAGGAAGGCCCUCGGGGUGUGAACUCCUCUCGCGAGGGAGGAAGCUUUGUUGUGACGGUACCUAGAAAAGAAGCACCGGCUAACUACGUG
rnacentral:rRNA from 1 species